CUAUAGGUACCGAUGGUAUAAUAUUGACGUUUGUAUUAUUUUUAUUAUUAUUAAUAUUACCUAUUAUUUAUUAUCUAUAUACAGUAGUUUUCCCAUUUAUUGGGUUCCUAUAUUUAAAACAGUUUUAGUAUGUGUCGAACCAUCUGCAUAAGAGUGUCACCUGUUUUCAGUCACAUGUGAAAUAAAUUUUAAGUUUAAUAUAAAAACUUAAAUGGUACUGUCGGUGUUGUAAACUAGAAGUCACCUAACUUAUUUCUCUCCCCUCCACCCAUUCGCGCCCAAUACGUUUGCGACUGCAGAAAAGUCUACAGUAUUACAAUUUCUAUUGAAAGCAAAGGCUAAAAUUGAAUUAUCUUAGUAGCGGACUGCAUUUUAACCAAAAUUCAAAUUUCCAUCACACGUUAAUCACUCAUAGUGUUAUUGUCACGCCUCUGCAACCGCAUCAACCAACAUAAUAUAACGGUAAUCCAUAAUGAACUGUUCUUAUUUCUAUUCUAGAUACCCAUAUUUUCCAAACUGCUUCAUAGAACAGCACGAUAUUAAACCCUAUUUGAUGUAUGAGAAAAAAAGUAUUAAUGCGUCAAUGUACAUAACUUUUUGAACGCUGUAGCUGAUGGCAAAAAACAUGUACCGUC